ACAUUGUGGUUGUGAGGUGGAAAAGGAACCGUCAUCCUCCAGCUGUUAAUAUUAGUGAUGGAAAUAUUGUUAGGUUGUUCUAAAAGGAGUCGGCACCUCAAGUUCAUAGCCUGCAAGUUCUGCAGCCAGGCGGUGUCUUAUCCACCUCAUUAUGCUGUGCCUGGUUGUCAGCAACAUUGUGGUUGUGAGGUGGAAAAGGAACCGUCAUCCUCCAGCUGUUAAUAUUAGUGAUGGAAAUAUUGUUAGGUUGUUCUAAAAGGAGUCGGCACCUCAAGUUCAUAGCCUGCAAGUUCUGCGGCCAGGCGGUGUCUCAUCCACCUCCUGAUGCUGUGCCUGGUUCUCAACAUUGUGGUUGUGAGGUGGAAAAGGAACCGUCAUCCUCCAGCUGUUAAUAUUAGUGAUGGAAAUAUUUUUAGGUUGUUCUAAAAG